AUAUAUGCAUCUAUUUGCUUAGACUAGUUACAUGGACUAAUCAUGAGUUAUAUAUAUUUUUUAGACCAUAAGCAGCGUGUAUCGUCUGAAAAAGAAAAUAAUUUAUUUUUUAUUUUUAUUUUUAGAUUUAAAAAAGAAGAUAAUCAAUCGCGGGUCGCCACGUGUCAGUGGGGCCUACAAAUAGUGAAGAAACAAAACAAGAGACGUCGCGAAUGUAGAAACGUCCUUUUUUUUGAUAAUUUAUGAUUUAAAAUUUUAUAUUUUAAUGUAUGGAACUUCUAAAAUAUAC
rnacentral:lncRNA from 1 species